GACGAACGCUGGCGGCGUGCCUAAUACAUGCAAGUCGAACGAGAGCGACCGGUGCUUGCACUGGUCAAUCUAGUGGCGAACGGGUGAGUAACACGUGGGUAACCUGCCCAUCAGAGGGGGAUAACAUUCGGAAACGGAUGCUAAAACCGCAUAGGUUCUUGAGUCGCAUGACUGAAGAAGGAAAAGAGGCUUCGGCUUCUGCUGAUGGAUGGACCCGCGGUGCAUUAGCUAGUUGGUGAGGUAACGGCUCACCAAGGCCGUGAUGCAUAGCCGACCUGAGAGGGUGAUCGGCCACAUUGGGACUGAGACACGGCCCAAACUCCUACGGGAGGCAGCAGUAGGGAAUCUUCCGCAAUGGACGCAAGUCUGACGGAGCAACGCCGCGUGAGUGAAGAAGGAUUUCGGUUCGUAAAACUCUGUUGUUAGAGAGGAACAGCGCAUAGAGUAACUGUUAUGCG
rnacentral:rRNA from 1 species